GACGAACGCUGGCGGCGUGCUUAACACAUGCAAGUCGAACGGAAAGGCCUCUUUCGGGGGGUACUCUCUUGGCGAACGGGUGAGUAACACAUGAGUAACCUUCCCUUGACUUUUGGGUAACUUCUCGGAACUUUGGCUCAUACCCGGUAAGAGCUCCUCCUGCCUGGUGGGGGUUUGAAAGUUUCGGCGGGUGGGGGUGGGCUCUCGGCUUAUCAGCUUGUUGGUGGGGUAGUGGCUUACCCAGGCUUUUACGGGUAGCCGGCCUGAGAGGGUGACCGGCCACAUUGGGACUGAGAUACGGCCCAGACUCCUACGGGAGGCAGCAGUGGGGAAUAUUGCACAAUGGGUGGAAGCCUGAUGCAGCAACGCCGUGUGCGGGAUGACGGCCUUCGGGUUGUAAACCGCUUUCGCUCAUGACGAAGCUUUGUGUGACGGUAGUGGGUAAAGAAGCACCGGCUAACUACGUG
rnacentral:rRNA from 1 species